GAGGAAUAUUGGUCAAUGGGCGGGAGCCUGAACCAGCCAAGUCGCGUGAAGGAAGAAGGAUCUAUGGUUCGUAAACUUCUUUUGCAGGGGAAUAAAGUGCAGGACGUGUCCUGUUUUGUAUGUACCCUGAGAAUAAGGAUCGGCUAACUCCGUGCCAGCAGCCGCGGUAAUACGGAGGAUCCGAGCGUUAUCCGGAUUUAUUGGGUUUAAAGGGUGCGUAGGUGGUUUGAUAAGUCAGCGGUGAAAGUUUGCAGCUUAACUGUAAAAGUGCCUUCGAUACUGGCUUCCUUGAGUGUAGAUGAAGUAGGCGGAAUUUGUGGUGUAGCGGUGAAAUGCUUAGAUAUCACGAGGAACUCCGAUUGCGCAGGCAGCUUACUAAACUACAACUGACGCUCAUGCACGAAGGCGUGGGGAUCAGACA
rnacentral:rRNA from 1 species